rnacentral:rRNA from 1 species
GACGAACGCUGGCGGCGUGCCUAAUACAUGCAAGUAGAACGCACAGUUUAUACCGUGGCUUGCUACACCAUAGACUGUGAGUUGCGAACGGGUGAGUAACGCGUAGGUAACCUGCCUGGUAGCGGGGGAUAACUAUUGGAAACGAUAGCUAAUACCGCAUAAUAUUAAUUAUUGCAUGAUAAUUAAUUGAAAGGUGCAAUUGCACCACUACCAGAUGGACCUGCGUUGUAUUAGCUAGUAGGUGAGGUAACGGCUCACCUAGGCGACGAUACAUAGCCGACCUGAGAGGGUGAUCGGCCACACUGGGACUGAGACACGGCCCAGACUCCUACGGGAGGCAGCAGUAGGGAAUCUUCGGCAAUGGACGAAAGUCUGACCGAGCAACGCCGCGUGAGUGAAGAAGGUUGUCGGAUCGUAAAGCUCUGUUGUAAGAGAAGAACGGGUGUGAGAGUGGAAAGUUCACACUGUGACGGUAGCUUACCAGAAAGGGACGGCUAACUACGUG